rnacentral:rRNA from 1 species
GAUCAUAGGCUCAGGAUGAACGCUAGCGGCAGGCUUAACACAUGCAAGUCGAGGGGCAGCGGGGAGUAGCAAUACUCCGCCGGCGACCGGCGCACGGGUGCGUAACGCGUAUGCAACCUACCUUUAACAGGGGCAUAACACUGAGAAAUUGGUACUAAUUCCCCAUAACAUUCGAGAAGGCAUCUUCUUGGGUUAAAAACUCCGGUGGUUAAAGAUGGGCAUGCGUUGUAUUAGCUAGUUGGUGAGGUAACGG